UACGGGGGGAGCAAGCGUUGUUCGGAUUUACUGGGCGUAAAGGGCGCGUAGGCGGCCUCUGCAAGUCGACUGUGAAAUCUCCGGGCUUAACCCGGAAAGGUCAGCCGAUACUGCGAGGGCUAGAGUGCAGAAGGGGCAACUGGAAUUCUCGGUGUAGUGGUGAAAUGCGUAGAGAUCAGGCGGAACACCCGUGGCGAAGGCGGCCAGCUGGGCCGUCCCUGACGCUGAGGCGCGAAGGCGUGGGGAGCGAACGGG
rnacentral:rRNA from 1 species